ensembl:snoRNA
UGAACCAAUGGUGAGAAUUGGCAGAGGUUGAGGCACAGAUGAUGAAUAAUAAGUAUCUGGAACCCUGAGGUCCAA